GACGAACGCUGGCGGCGUGCUUAACACAUGCGAGUCGAACGGAAAGGCCCUGCUUUUGUGGGGUGCUCGAGUGGCGAACGGGUGAGUAACACGUGAGUAACCUGCCCUUGACUUUGGGAUAACUUCAGGAAACUGGGGCUAAUACCGGAUAGGAGCUCCUGCUGCAUGGUGGGGGUUGGAAAGUUUCGGCGGUUGGGGAUGGACUCGCGGCUUAUCAGCUUGUUGGUGGGGUAGUGGCUUACCAAGGCUUUGACGGGUAGCCGGCCUGAGAGGGUGACCGGCCACAAUGGGACUGAGAGACGGCCCAGACUCCUACGGGAGGCAGCAGGGGGGAAUAUUGCACAAUGGGCGGAAGCCUGAUGCAGCAACGCCGCGUGCGGGAUGACGGCCUUCGGGUUGUAAACCGCUUUCGCCUGUGACGAAGCGUGAGUGACGGUAAUGGGUAAAGAAGCACCGGCUAACUACGUG
rnacentral:rRNA from 1 species